rnacentral:rRNA from 1 species
UACGGGGGGGGCAAGCGUUGUUCGGAAUUACUGGGCGUAAAGGGCUCGUAGGCGGCCAACUAAGUCAGACGUGAAAUCCCUCGGCUUAACCGGGGAACUGCGUCUGAUACUGGAUGGCUUGAGGUUGGGAGAGGGAUGCGGAAUUCCAGGUGUAGCGGUGAAAUGCGUAGAUAUCCGGAAGAACACCUGAGGCGAAGGCGGCUUGCUGGGCAUGAUCUGACGCUGAGGCGCGAAAGCGUGGGAGCAACAGG